rnacentral:rRNA from 1 species
UACAGAGGUCUCAAGCGUUGUUCGGAUUCAUUGGGCGUAAAGGGUGCGUAGGCGGCGUGGUAAGUCUGGUGUGAAAGGCGUGGGCUCAACCCACGGACUGCAUUGGAUACUGCCAUGCUAGAGGACUGGAGAGGAGAAUGGAAUUCACGGUGGAGCAGUGAAAUGCGUAGAUAUCGUGAGGAAGGGCAGUGGCGAAGGCGAGUCUCUGGACAGUACCUGACGCUGAGGCACGAAGGCUGGGGGAGCGAACAGG